rnacentral:rRNA from 1 species
GAUGAACGCUGGCGGCGUGCUUAACACAUGCGAGUCGAACGGUGAAAGAGAGCUUGCUCUCUGGAUCAGUGGCGAACGGGUGAGUAACACGUGAGCAAUCUGCCCCUGACUCUGGGAUAAGCGCUGGAAACGGCGUCUAAUACCGGAUACGAGCUGCGAAGGCAUCUUCAGCAGCUGGAAAGAACUUCGGUCAGGGAUGAGCUCGCGGCCUAUCAGCUAGUUGGUGAGGUAACGGCUCACCAAGGCGUCGACGGGUAGCCGGCCUGAGAGGGUGACCGGCCACACUGGGACUGAGACACGGCCCAGACUCCUACGGGAGGCAGCAGUGGGGAAUAUUGCACAAUGGGCGAAAGCCUGAUGCAGCAACGCCGCGUGAGGGACGACGGCCUUCGGGUUGUAAACCUCUUUUAGCAGGGAAGAAGCGAAAGUGACGGUACCUGCAGAAAAAGCACCGGCUAACUACGUG